GACGAACGCUGGCGGCGUGCUUAACACAUGCAAGUCGAACGCUGAAGCCCUGGCUUUUGUUGGGUUGGAUGAGUGGCGAACGGGUGAGUAACACGUGAGUAACCUGCCCUCUUCUUUGGGAUAACGCCCGGAAACGGGUGCUAAUACUGGAUAUUCACUGAUCUUCGCAUGGGGGUUGGUGGAAAGGUUUGUUCUGGUGGGGGAUGGGCUCGCGGCCUCUCAGCUUGUUGGUGGGGUGAUGGCCUACCAAGGCUUUGACGGGUGGCCGGCCUGAGAGGGUGACCGGUCACGUUGGGACUGAGAUACGGCCCAGACUCCUACGGGAGGCAGCAGUGGGGAAUAUUGCACAAUGGGCGAAAGCCUGAUGCAGCGACGCCGCGUGAGGGAUGGAGGCCUUCGGGGUGUAAACCUCUUUCGCUCAUGGUCAAGCCGCAACUGUGGGUUGUGGUGAGGGUAGUGGGUAAAGAAGCGCCGGCUAACUACGUG
rnacentral:rRNA from 1 species